CAGUAGCCACGGGAAUACGAAGGGGGCUAGCGUUGUUCGGAAUUACUGGGCGUAAAGGGCGCGUAGGCGGCGGAUCAAGUCAGGCGUGAAAGCCCCGGGCUCAACCUGGGAAUUGCGCUUGGGACUGGUCUGCUUGAGUUCGGGAGAGGUGAGUGGAAUUCCCAGUGUAGAGGUGAAAUUCGUAGAUAUUGGGAAGAACACCGGUGGCGAAGGCGGCUCACUGGACCGUCACUGACGCUGAGGCGCGAAAGCGUGGGGAGCAAACAGGAUUAGAUACCCCAGUAGUCCCUGUCUCUUAUAA
rnacentral:rRNA from 1 species